GGCGAACGGGUGAGUAACACGUGGGUGAUCUGCCUUGCACUCUGGGAUAAGCUUGGGAAACUGGGUCUAAUACCGGAUAGGAACCGUCUUUAGUGUGGUGGCUGGAAAGUUUUUUCGGUGCAAGAUGAGCUCGCGGCCUAUCAGCUUGUUGGUGGGGUAAUGGCCUACCAAGGCGUCGACGGGUAGCCGGCCUGAGAGGGUGUACGGCCACAUUGGGACUGAGAUACGGCCCAG
rnacentral:rRNA from 1 species